GCCCUACGGGGCGCAGCAGUGGGGAAUAUGGCACAAGGGGGGAAACCCUGAUGCAGCAACGCCGCGUGAGGGAAGAAGUAUUUCGGUAUGUAAAGCUCUAUCAGCAGGGAAGAAGAAAGACGGUACCUGACUAAGAAGCCCCGGCUAACUACGUGCCAGCAGCCGCGUUAAUACGUAGGGGGCAAGCGUUAUCCGGAUUUACUGGGUGUAAAGGGAGCGUAGACUGCAUAGCAAGUCUGAUGUGAAAUCCGCGGGCUUAACCAGCGAACUGCAUUU
rnacentral:rRNA from 1 species